AAAGAGAUUUAAGUUAUUUGAAGAGUGGCUGCCGUGGUGGUAGUUGUGGUUGUAUGGGUAUGGUAGUGGUGGUUGUGGUGGUGGUGAGGUAUAAUGGAUAGUUUUAGUGGUUAGGUAGACUAGGGAAGGUGAAGGUAAGGAAGUUGAGAAUGGGGGAAAAAUGUUGAUAGAUCAGUCAACAUAGAAAAUCGUGGAAACCGAGCGGGGAAAUGAGGAAGGCGUUAAAAAUAAGGAAGUUUAUAGGAAAAAAAUAUUGAUAGACGAGUCAGUAUAAGUAAUCGUGAAAACCGGGUGAAGUAAGGAGGGAGUUGACAAUAAAGGAGUUGAUGAUAGGAAAAAGAUAUUCUCAGUAUAGAAAAUCGUGGAAACAGACGGGAGAAAUGAGGAAGGAGUUGACAAUAAGGGAGUUGAUGAUAGGAAAAAAAUAUUCUCAGUAUAGAAAAUCGUGGAAACAGACUGGAGAAAUGAGGAAGGAGUUGACAAUAAGGGAGUUGAUGAUAGAAAAAAAAUAUUGAUAGAUCAGCCAGUAUUGUGGGUAACCGAAUGGAGAAAUGAGGAAGGAGUCUUGAUGCGUGAAGGAAUAAUAGAGGUUCAGGGUUGUGUGUGUGUGUGUGUGAGGUUGGUAGCAAUAAAAGGGGUGGAAAGGAAAGGAAAAUGAUACUAAGGGAAAUAAUAACAUUGAUAAAUAAGUCGAAUGUGUAGGAAAUCCUGACCAGUGAAGGAAUAAUAUAAGUUCAGAGUUGUGUGUGUGGGGGAGAGGGAGGACGUAGGGAAAAGAGGGGGGUGGAGGGAGACCAGAUAAACUAUGUCAUGAAAAGUGGAGAAAGAGAAAAAUGAGUUAAGUGUGGUGAAUUGUGAAGGUGAAUAGUGGUCGGCGGGUGAUGGAUGCUGGGAGUUGAACGUUGGUGGUAGGUGGUGGUGAACGCUGGGUGAUGGGUGGUGGGAGGUGGGCGGCGGUGGUGGGUGGUGGGUGAUGUAUAGUGGUGUUGAACGUUGGCUGGAGGCGGGUGUUGGGAGGCUGGCGGUGGGUGGGAUCCCUAACUCACAUAUUCGUACAGGCAAGACAUACAUAGGCACGACUGCAGCCAGAGGGAUCUUGGCACAUAACUCUUAACUCUUAAAUCUGGCGGCGGGCCUGGCACUGUCACCGCGGCACCACCUGUUCUUUGAUAUCCCCUCAGAGGAUCGCAAGAUAAGAAAAUUGUUGAAGCUUGACUUUGCAUUCUGUGUCACCAUCUUUGUUUGGCACUCAAAAUAAUUAGUCACAAGCUUAAAAAGGAUGGUGAAUACUUUUAAGGAAUUUACUCCUAUUUAGCGUCCCUUCAGUGAUCGAUGUUGCCUGUGGAAGAGGAUUUGGGAUGUCUAACUUUACAAUGUGUUCCAAGCCUUUGUUUAUUAAUCUAGACACUCAGGCAUUAGUUUCAAGAUGACGUCCAGUGGUGUUUAGUACCCUUUGCUGCGUCCUCUAUGCCUGCCUUGCCUAAAUAUGGCCUUCAGGUGGUAGUGAGGCUGGGAGGGAGAGAGAGAAAAAAGGGUGAGUGAGUGUGCCAAGGUUUCCCUGCCCUCCCUGCUCUCCCUCUUGCUCCUUCUCGCCUUCCCUUCCUUCCUCCCUUCCCGCGCCUGCCAUCUAAUGCUCCGUUUUGGAUCACACAGCUGUAAGGACUGAUUCAUGCGUACACUGGUGAUGCUAAUGGAAGGGUGAUCUUAGCUACGUGUGUCAGUGGUAAUGGAAUAUGAGGAUGAGGUGUGUUAUAGCAAGGAAGAAAAAUAAUGGUUUGAAAGUGGUGUGGGUGCAAGUCUUAAAAUUAGAUACAUGAGGAAGGCCGCAAAGAAUCCACGAGAGAGAGAGAGAGAGAGAGAGAGAGAGAGAGAGAGAGAGAGAGAGAGAGAGAGAGAGAGAGAGAGAGAGA